rnacentral:rRNA from 1 species
UACGUAGGAUGCAAGCGUUGUCCGGAUUUAUUGGGCGUAAAGAGCUCGUAGGCGGUGUGUCACGUCGGCCGUGAAAACCUGCAGCUUAACUGUGGGCGUGCGGUCGAUACGGGCAUCACUGGAGUUCGGCAGGGGAGACUGGAAUUCCUGGUGUAGCGGUGAAAUGCGCAGAUAUCAGGAGGAACACCGGUGGCGAAGGCGGGUCUCUGGGCCGAUACUGACGCUGAGGAGCGAAAGCGUGGGGAGCGAACAGG